CUGUCCCAGUUCGGACUGGAGUCUGCAACCCGACUCCACGAAGUUGGAUUCGCUAGUAAUCGCGCAUCAGCCAUGGCGCGGUGAAUACGUUCCCGGGCCUUGUACACACCGCCCGUCAAGCCAUGGGAGCCGGGGCGCCUGAAGUCCGGGACCGCGAGGACCGGCCUAGGGCGAAACUGGUAACUGGGGCUAAGUCGUAACAAGGUAUC
rnacentral:rRNA from 1 species